GUGAGUCAUCGAAUCUUUGAACGCACAUUGCGCCCUUUGGUAUUCCAUGGGGCACGCCUGUUCGAGCGUCAUUUCAACCUUCAAGCUUGGCUUGGUAUUGGGUCUGCCGCCUCCGGCAGGCCUCAAAGAUGUUGGCAGUGGGCGACCCCUGAGCGUGAUGGAUUCACGACGGAUGGGGCCGAUCCAUGGCCGAAAGUUUUCUUAGGUUGACCUCGGAUCAGGCGGGGAUACCCGCUGAACUUAAGCAUAUCAAUAAGCGGAGGA
rnacentral:misc_RNA from 1 species